UCUUAUAUUUCUUAUCCUUGAAAAUGUGGCAUAAAGCUGGCUCCCUUGCAAAUAAGCAGAACUGCUUUGAUGAGUUCAACCCAGAAAGUUAUGUAUAGAGGGUGGAAGCAACAGUGGACUUCUUGUUGGCGCUUGCAGAAAUCAGUUACUAUUUGGGAGUUGCAACUGGGGCUCUUCGAGACCUGAUCUUUUUGGUUGUGCCCUGGCUCAUGUUGGUUGGUGUUAUGGACAUGUUACGGUUCCACAAAUUUACAAUAGGUCAUGCUUGUACCACAGAUUAUGGUUGUUCAGACAAGGAGGAAGAAUUUCAUUGGCUAAUCAAGUUUGUUAAACCGAUCAUGAAAUAUA